rnacentral:rRNA from 1 species
UGGGGAAUUUUGGACAACGGGCGCAAGCCUGAUCCAGCCAUGCCGCGUGCGGGAAGAAGGCCUUCGGGUUGUAAACCGCUUUUGUCAGGGAAGAAAUCCUUUGAGCUAAUACCUCGGGGGGAUGACGGUACCUGAAGAAUAAGCACCGGCUAACUACGUGCCAGCAGCCGCGGUAAUACGUAGGGUGCGAGCGUUAAUCGGAAUUACUGGGCGUAAAGCGUGCGCAGGCGGUUGUGUAAGACAGGUGUGAAAUCCCCGGGCUUAACCUGGGAACUGCGCUUGUGACUGCACGGCUAGAGUAUGGCAGAGGGGGGUGGAAUUCCACGUGUAGCAGUGAAAUGCGUAGAGAUGCGGAGGAACACCGAUGGCGAAGGCAAUCCCCUGGACCUGUACUGACGCUCAUGCACGAAAGCGUGGGGAGCAAACA